GCACCAGUGGGGAAUAUUGCGCAAUGGGCGAAAGCCUGACGCAGCGACGCCGCGUGAGGGAUGAAGGUCUUCGGAUUGUAAACCUCUUUCAGCAGGGACGAAGCGAAAGUGACGGUACCUGCAGAAGAAGCACCGGCUAACUACGUGCCAGCAGCCGCGGUAAUACGUAGGGUGCAAGCGUUGUCCGGAUUUAUUGGGCGUAAAGAGCUCGUAGGCGGUUAGACACGUCGGAUGUGAAAACUGGGGGCUCAACCCCCAGCCUGCAUUCGAUACGGUCUGACUAGAGUGUGGUAGGGGUAACUGGAAUUCCUGGUGUAGCGGUGAAAUGCGCAGAUAUCAGGAGGAACACCGAUGGCGAAGGCAGGUUACUGGGCCACCACUGACGCUGAGGAGCGAAAGCGUGGGGAGCAAACAGGAUUAGAUACCC
rnacentral:rRNA from 1 species